UCUAGUUGGGCCCAGGUAGUCCAGGGAGGUCUUUGGCUUCUCAGCUCCUUGGGACGGUAUUCCCACAGACCCAGGUAGAAGCGGUCCGCUGGUCCCAGAGCACUGGGAACAUGAAGCAUUCCUGCCCCCGAGAGCCUCUCUGGCUGGAGAGACCUCAAAGUCUUUAGGAAACUUCUUUCUGUUUUAAACUCUGUCCUGUGUUUUAUCUGCUGUCUGACUACAGUGUUACCCUCUGCUCGGGAAUGGGGAUGAUCUAUCUCUAUGGUCUACAUGACACCUUCCAAAUCAUGGCAAUAGAUACGGCAGGGGAGCAGGGUAUGGAUGGUGCAGACAGAUGGAUCCCAGACCCCGCUCUGUGGAAUCAGCAUCUGCUAUGAGCCUCCCAUUUGAUCUGAUGACUUCCAUGUGAGUCUCAGAAAUCAGCACGCUCUUGUCCUUUCCGUGGGCUUUCUGCAUUCCUGCAAUGACCAGGAGGGGGCACUGUGGAGCCACUGUCAUCUUCCCAGGCACUUCCUGGUACCAGUUUUUCCCCGUUCUCUGCGCCCUGGCCAUCCCUUUGCCUGCGGAGUGCUGCUGGGCUCUUUUGACCCCGGAAAUCUAAUCUACUCUACCUUUGACCUGGCCCAGAACACCUGGAAGAACCUGCUGUGUAACAACCCAGUCUUCACAAGGUCAGGGUAGUACGUUUAGCAGUAUCUAUUUUGAUUAAAAUGAUAGAGGAUUACUUCUUUGGUGCUGAAGUGACGGUGAAUCUAUGGAUUUGGGUGGAAUCAUUAAAUGAUAUUGACACCACCUGUUUAUACUCCUGUGUUUCCUCAGUUAAUUUGAAAAUUGGUUUGUUUUCCCAUAUAACAGAUUUAGAACAUAAAGCUUUACUUGCAUGUGUGUGUGUUUAGGGACUGUUAAGAAUAAA